CGAACGCUGGCGGCGUGCUUAACACAUGCAAGUCGAACGGAAAGGCCUUUUCGGAGGUACUCGAGCGGCGAACGGGUGAGUAACACGUGGGUGAUCUGCCCUGCACUCUGGGAUAAGCCUGGGAAACUGGGUCUAAUACCGGAUAGGACCGCACUUUAGUGUGUGUGGUGGAAAGUUUUUUCGGUGUAGGAUGAGCCCGCGGCCUAUCAGCUUGUUGGUGGGGUAAUGGCCUACCAAGGCGGCGACGGGUAGCCGGACUGAGAGGUUGGUCGGCCACAUUGGGACUGAGAUACGGCCCAGACUCCUACGGGAGGCAGCAGUGGGGAAUAUUGCACAAUGGGCGCAAGCCUGAUGCAGCGACGCCGCGUGGGGGAUGACGGCCUUCGGGUUGUAAACUCCUUUCGCCAGGGACGAAGCGUUUUGUGACGGUACCUGGAGAAGAAGCACCGGCUAACUACGUG
rnacentral:rRNA from 1 species